GGAAGGGUGCCAGAGCGGACGAAUGGAACGGUCUCGAAAACCGUCAGGGGUGCAAGCCUCUCGGGGGUUCAAAUCCCCCCCCUUCCGCCA
rnacentral:tRNA from 1 species